UGCACACCAACCUCUCUCUCUACACAAGCUCCAGGUGUAUUUUAUCUGUCCCUCCAACACACCCAUUUAUAACAUGGUUAAACUGUUAGGGGAUUGGAAAAUAGUGUGCCAUUUAGUCUCCCUGUCUUUUGGAGGCUGGAAAAUUCUCAUUUUGGAGGCUGCAAUUCUCAUCAGAGUUGGAGUGGGUUACAGCACCUGACAGCCAUUACCUGGAGAAAGCAUCCAACUACUGCUACCCAAUUUCUUCAGCUGAGAGAGGAGCUGAGAGAGGAGCUGGGGGCAGGCAUGAAGGGGAAGGCUGUGUUCAGGCAGCACACCUGAACCAUGAGCACGGUCUGGAUGUCACCACCAAUGGCACAGAAUCCCCUUGUCCCCGUGCCAUCUCUGCUUCCUCAGCCUACUGCUCACCUCUGCCACUGCCACAGCAAAUACAUCCCACUCAUCAGGGGAAUUAUGGACAUAAUGGAAUAAGGAAAAAACCCCACAGAGGACAGCAGUUGCAGAGUGCUACAAAAUGUGACAUCAACCCCACAGGUCACAAAGCAUUGUCUCCUGUCAUCCCUUUGUCAUUAGUUUUCAUCUAUUCAGCUCUGUAGGGCAUAGACAAUAAAUGAGAAACCCUUUCCCUGAGUACAGGAGGAGCAAGGGACCACAGAUAUUCAUUGGGCAGUACUUGUCCCAGCAAGGAGCUGCCAUCACCACAGUUUCCCAGCCCAGAGGCUCAGAGGCUUUUGCCACAUCCAUGCAGUGAGGAGCUGAAGUAUCAAGUGACCGAGUCCACUAGCAGAACAACCCCAGGAACUCCAGGAUCACCUGGGAAAACACACGGGCUGUGCUGUGGGAUGCACCUCCCAUUCCCCUGCUCCAUGACCUGUGCUCAGCCCCUCUGGCUCAGCCCCUGCUGCAUCAGGCACCGUCUCACCUCUGUCUUGCAGACAGCUCGGUGUUGUCUGACUUGGACAGGCUUUAGCAGCUGCCAGGGUGCUGCAGGGCAUGCAGAGGUAACAGCACAAUUUGCUCAGAGAAGCCUGGUGAGCCAUACUGAGAGCAGUGCCGAGACAUCCGUGCAGUAUCACCACAGCAGG